ensembl:misc_RNA Metazoa_SRP Metazoan signal recognition particle RNA
GCCGGGUGCGGUGGCACACGCCUAUAGUCCCAGCUACUCAGGAGGCUGAGGCUGGAGGAUUGCUUGAGUCUGGGAGUUCUGGGCUGUAGUGUGCUAUGCUGAUCGGGGGCCCACACUAAGUUUGGCAUCAAUAUGGUGACCUCCUGGGAGUGGGGGACUACCAGGUUGCCUAAGGAGGGGUAAACCGGCCCAGGUUGGAAACAGAGCAGGUCAAAACUCCUGUGCUGAUCAGUAGUGGGACUGUGCCUGUGAAUAGCCACUGUACUCCAGCCUGGGCAACAUAGCGAGACCCCAUCUGUU